GCUGUGGUGCUUUUUUUUUUUAGUAUUGAUGAAAUAUUUGGUACUAUUAAAUUUUUCGCCGUUAAAUUUAUUUUUUAAUUAUUUUUAUUUAUUAAAUUAUAUUAUUUAAUCAAUCACUUAUUGAAAUCUAUACACGUACCUUCAUGCAAGCACCAAUGACUCGGUGCUAUAGAAGCAUUCCAGCCUAAUUUGUGAAUACAGUACUACUUUGUUGUAUUUUCAAAGUGAGAGAAAUUACUUUUUUGAUUAGUUUCUGAGUAGUGGAGAUUUUGAUUAGAAACUUAGUUGAG
rnacentral:lncRNA from 1 species